rnacentral:rRNA from 1 species
CAAUAGCGUAUAUUAAAGUUGUUGCAGUUAAAAAGCUCGUAGUUGGAUUUCGGGGCAGCCUGGCUGGUCCGCCGCAAGGCGAGUACUGGUCAGCAGCCCUUCCUCUCGAAAGCCCCGACUGCUCUUCGUUGCAGUGGUCGGGUAGUUCGGGACGUUUACUUUGAAAAAAUUAGAGUGUUCAAGGCAGGCCUACGCCUGAAUACAUUAGCAUGGAAUAAUGGAAGAGGACCUCGGUCCUAUUUUGUUGGUUUCCAGGGCCGAAGUAAUGAUUAAGAGGGACAGUUGGGGGCAUUCGUAUUUAAUUGUCAGAGGUGAAAUUCUCGGAUUUAUGAAAGACGAACAACUGCGAAAGCAUUUGCCAAGGAUGUUUUCAUUAA